GUGGCGGACGGGUGAGUAACACGUGAGAAUCUGCCAACAGGACGGGGACAACAGGGGGAAACCGCUGCUAAGACCCGAUAAACCGAAAGGGGAAAAAGAAAUUGCCAGUUGAUGAGCUCGCGUCGGAUUAGCUAGUUGGUAGUGUAAGGGACUACCAAGGCGACGAUCCGUAGCCGGUCUGAGAGGACGAUCGGCCACACUGGGACUGAGACACGGCCCAGACUCCUACGGGAGGCAGCAGUGGGGAAUUUUCCGCAAUGGGCGAAAGCCUGACGGAGCAAGACCGCGUGAGGGAGGAAGGCUCUUGGGUUGUAAACCUCUUUUCUCAAGGAAGAAGAAAUGACGGUACUUGAGGAAUCAGCAUCGGCUAACUCCGUGCCAGCAGCCGCGGUAAUACGGAGGAUGCAAGCGUUAUCCGGAAUGAUUGGGCGUAAAGCGUCCGCAGGUGGCAGUUCAAGUCUGCCGUUAAAGACUCCAGCUUAACUGGAGGAAGGCGGUGGAAACUGAACAGCUAGAGUGCGGUAGGGGCAGAGGGAAUUCCCGGUGUAGCGGUGAAAUGCGUAGAGAUCGGGAAGAACACCAGUGGCGAAAGCGCUCUGCUGGACCGCAACUGACACUCAGGGACGAAAGCUAGGGGAGCGAAUGGGAUUAGAUACCCCAGUAGUCCUAGCCGUAAACGAUGGAUACUAGGUGUUGUGCGUAUCGACCCGCGCAGUGCCGCAGCUAACGCGCUAAGUAUCCCGCCUGGGGAGUACGCACGCAAGUGUGAAACUCAAAGGAAUUGACGGGGGCCCGCACAAGCGGUGGAGUAUGUGGUUUAAUUCGAUGCAACGCGAAGAACCUUACCAGGACUUGACAUGUCCGGAAUCUCGGUGAAAGCUGAGAGUGCCUUCGGGAACCGGAACACAGGUGGUGCAUGGCUGUCGUCAGCUCGUGUCGUGAGAUGUUGGGUUAAGUCCCGCAACGAGCGCAACCCUCGUUUCUAGUUGCCAGCAUUAAGUUGGGCACUCUGGAGAGACUGCCGGUGACAAACCGGAGGAAGGUGGGGAUGACGUCAAGUCAGCAUGCCCCUUACGUCCUGGGCUACACACGUACUACAAUGCUUCAGACAAAGGGCAGCUAGCCAGCGAUGGUCAGCAAAUCCCAGAAACUGAGGCUCAGUUCAGAUCGCAGGCUGCAACUCGCCUGCGUGAAGGCGGAAUCGCUAGUAAUCGCCGGUCAGCAUACGGCGGUGAAUACGUUCCCGGGCCUUGUACACACCGCCCGUCACACCAUGGGAGCUGGCGGUGCCCGAAGUCGUUAUCCUAACCCCUCGGGGAGGGAGACGCCGAAGGCAAAGCUGGUGACUGGGGUGAAGUCGUAACAAGGUAGCCGUACCGGAAGGUGUGGCUGGAUCACCUCCU
rnacentral:rRNA from 1 species